UGUUGAUAAUAACAUUGUAGUUCCGAUUUUUUCCUUGCUUAGUUUGUAUUAUUAUAAGUCUGCCAUUCUGUCCGCUGAGUUCUUGAGCCGUCGUUUACUCUCUUGGACAGCACAGCGAGAAAACUCAAUUUCCUCCUCCACGUCUACGUUCGCUCGACUUCAAUUCGAACCAAAAAAAUCUCCGACAGCCCGCACAACCCAUCAAACCCUAGAAAUCAUUUCUUUUUUUGGGCAUCCGGAGGGCUCCUCCUUAUUUGUCUCUGCUCUUUGUUCUCUCCAUUCGAUUCAAUUUCGUCUAUCAAAACGUUAUGUAGUUCUACCAAAAGGUUAUGGAGUUCAAUGCGCGAGGAAUUAUCUGCAUACCUGAAGGAUGAAUUUAAGGCCAAAGAAGCCCAGAGAAAAGCUAUUGAAGUAAGAAGUGAAGAGCUAAAGCAGCAUUUGAAAGUAUGAUUUAAGUUUUACUCUGUACUUACACAAGAUACUCCUGACAUUUCAAAUACAGUAACUUCCCAAACACUGAUAAUUUGGUUUUCUAUUGGUAUAUGUGAAACCAGCUUGAUAUACGUUACAAGGUUGAGGGUUGAGGAUAGUUGGCAAAUAACAAAAGUAAUUUAUUGUCUAGCGUAUAUAAUAAAACCAACCAUAGAAUAAGAGUGUCGUUUUGCUCUAAGUUUUUGAAUUAAUGUAAGAAUGGUUUUCUUAUUUAACUUGCCAAAUGCAUAAAUAAUUAGAUUAUUCUGUAGUAUUUUGCUGUGGUGGUAUUAAUUUUUUUUUGAGUACAUCGUAUUUUUACACUAAAGGGAGGAGGAGUUCGGCUAAGCCACACAAUGGAAA